rnacentral:rRNA from 1 species
GAUGAACGCUGGCGGCGUGCCUAAUACAUGCAAGUCGAGCGAAUGGAUUAAGAGCUUGCUCUUAUGAAGUUAGCGGCGGACGGGUGAGUAACACGUGGGUAACCUGCCCAUAAGACUGGGAUAACUCCGGGAAACCGGGGCUAAUACCGGAUAACAUUUUGAACCGCAUGGUUCGAAACUGAAAGGCGGCUUCGGCUGUCACUUAUGGAUGGACCCGCGUCGCAUUAGCUAGUUGGUGAGGUAACGGCUCACCAAGGCAACGAUGCGUAGCCGCCCUGAGAGGGUGAUCGGCCACACGGGGACUGAGACACGGCCCAGACUCCUCCGGGAGGCAGCAGUAGGGAAUCUUCCGAAAUGGACGAAAGUCUGACGGAGCAACGCCGCGUGAGUGAGGAAGGCUUUCGGGUCGUAAAACUCUGUUGUUAGGGAAGAACAAGUGCUAGUUGAAUAAGCUGGCACCUUGACGGUACCUAACCAGAAAGCCACGGCUAACUACGUGCCAGCCGCCGCAGUAA